rnacentral:rRNA from 1 species
AGUGAACGCUGGCGGCAGGCCUAACACAUGCAAGUCGAGCGGCAGCGCGUCCGACCACCCUCGGGUGGUCGGAUGGCGGCGAGCGGCGGACGGGUGAGGAAUGCAUCGGAAUCUGCCUCGUUGUGGGGGAUAACGUAGGGAAACUUACGCUAAUACCGCAUACGACCUACGGGUGAAAGUGGGGGACCUUCGGGCCUCACGCGAUGAGAUGAGCCGAUGCCGGAUUAGCUAGUUGGCGGGGUAAAGGCCCACCAAGGCGACGAUCCGUAGCUGGUCUGAGAGGAUGAUCAGCCACACUGGAACUGAGACACGGUCCAGACUCCUACGGGAGGCAGCAGUGGGGAAUAUUGGACAAUGGGGGCAACCCUGAUCCAGCCAUGCCGCGUGUGUGAAGAAGGCCUCGGUUGUAAGC